UGAAUCAGCACCAUUGUGGAGUAACAUUGGAAUGUGCUUUUUUGAAAUGAAAAAGUUCAUUGCAGCCAUCAGCUGCCUUAAGAGAGCAAAUCACCUGUCUCCUUUUGAUUGGAAAAUAUUAUACAACCUUGGACUGGUUCAUUUAGUGACACAGCAGUAUGCAUCAGCUUUUCAUUACUUGUCUGCAUCGAUAAAUCUCCACCAUAGAUAUGGGAAUGCAUUUAUGCUGCUUGCUCUUACCUUGAAGAAACUGGGAGAUCCAGA